AUACGGAGGGUCCGAGCGUUAUCCGGAAUCAUUGGGUUUAAAGGGUCCGUAGGCGGGAAUCUAAGUCAGUGGUGAAAUCUUGCAGCUCAACUGUAAAAUUGCCAUUGAUACUGGAUUUCUUGAAUUAGUGUGAAGUGGUUAGAAUGUGUAGUGUAGCGGUGAAAUGCAUAGAUAUUACACAGAAUACCAAUUGCGAAGGCAGAUCACUAACACUAUAUUGACGCUGAAGGACGAAAGCGUGGGGAGCGAACAGGAUUAGAAACCCCGGUAGUCC
rnacentral:rRNA from 1 species